rnacentral:rRNA from 1 species
AUUGAACGCUGGCGGCGUGCCUAACACAUGCAAGUCGAGCGGCAGCGCGGGAGCAAUCCUGGCGGCGAGCGGCGAACGGGUGAGUAAUGCUUCGGAAUCUGCCCAUGUAGUGGGGAAUAACCAGCCGAAAGGUUGGCUAAUACCGCAUACGACCUACGGGUGAAAGCAGGGGAUCGCAAGACCUUGCGCUAUUGGAUGAGCCGAAGUCGGAUUAGCUAGNGGUAGGGUAACGGCCUACCAAGGCGACGAUCCGUAGCUGGUCUGAGAGGACGACCAGCCACACUGGGACUGAGACACGGCCCAGACUCCUACGGGAGGCAGCAGUGGGGAAUAUUGGACAAUGGGGGCAACCCUGAUCCAGCGACGCCGCGUGUGUGAAGAAGGCCUGCGGGUUGU